rnacentral:rRNA from 1 species
GACGAACGCUGGCGGCGUGCUUAACACAUGCAAGUCGAACGGAAAGGCCCUGCUUUUGUGGGGUGCUCGAGUGGCGAACGGGUGAGUAACACGAGAGUAACCUGCCCAUGACUUUGGGAUAACUUCAGGAAACUGGGGCUAAUACCGGAUAGGAGCUCCUGCUGCAUGGUGGGGGUUGGAAAGUUUCGGCGGUUGGGGAUGGACUCGCGGCUUAUCAGCUUGUUGGUGGGGUAGUGGCUUACCAAGGCUUUGACGGGUAGCCGGCCUGAGAGGGUGACCGGCCACAUUGGGACUGAGAUACGGCCCAGACUCCUACGGGAGGCAGCAGUGGGGAAUAUUGCACAGUGGGCGGAAGCCUGAUGCAGCAACGCCGCGGGCGGGAUGACGGCCUUCGGGUUGUAAACCGCUUUCGCCUGUGACGAAGCGUGAGUGACGGUAAUGUGUAAAGAAGCACCGGCUAACUACGUG